rnacentral:rRNA from 1 species
UACGUAUGGUGCAAGCGUUAUCCGGAUUUACUGGGCGUAAAGGGAGCGCAGGCGGCGCGUCAAGUCUGAUGUGAAACCCCGGGGCUCAACCCCGGGCAUGCAUUGGAAACUGGCGGGCUGGAGUGCCGGAGAGGUAAGCGGAAUUCCUAGUGUAGCGGUGAAAUGCGUAGAUAUUAGGAGGAACACCAGUGGCGAAGGCGGCUUACUGGACGGCAACUGACGCUGAGGCUCGAAAGCGUGGGGAGCAAACAGG